rnacentral:rRNA from 1 species
GUGGGGAAUUUUGGACAAUGGGCGCAAGCCUGAUCCAGCCAUGCCGCGUGCAGGAUGAAGGCCUUCGGGUUGUAAACUGCUUUUGUACGGAACGAAAAGACUCCUUCUAAUAAAGGGGGUCCAUGACGGUACCGUAAGAAUAAGCACCGGCUAACUACGUGCCAGCAGCCGCGGUAAUACGUAGGGUGCGAGCGUUAAUCGGAAUUACUGGGCGUAAAGCGUGCGCAGGCGGUUAUGUAAGACAGAUGUGAAAUCCCCGGGCUCAACCUGGGAACUGCAUUUGUGACUGCAUAGCUAGAGUACGGCAGAGGGGGAUGGAAUUCCGCGUGUAGCAGUGAAAUGCGUAGAUAUGCGGAGGAACACCGAUGGCGAAGGCAAUCCCCUGGGCCUGUACUGACGCUCAUGCACGAAAGCGUGGGGAGCAAACAGGAUUAGAUACCCCGGUAGUCC